rnacentral:rRNA from 1 species
AGCGAACGCUGGCGGCAGGCCUAACACAUGCAAGUCGAACGAACCUUUCGGGGUUAGUGGCGGACGGGUGAGUAACACGUGGGAACGUGCCUUUAGGUUCGGAAUAACUCAGGGAAACUUGUGCUAAUACCGAAUGUGCCCUUCGGGGGAAAGAUUUAUCGCCUUUAGAGCGGCCCGCGUCUGAUUAGCUAGUUGGUUGAGGUAAUGGCUCACCAAGGCGACGAUCAGUAGCUGGUCUGAGAGGAUGAUCAGCCACAUUGGGACUGAGACACGGCCCAAACUCCUACGGGAGGCAGCAGUGGGGAAGCUUGCGCAAUGGGCGAAAGCCUGACGCAGCCAUGCCGCGUGAAUGAUGAAGGUCUUAGGAUUGUAAAAUUCUUUCACCGGGGACGAUAAUGACGGUACCCGGAGAAGAAGCCCCGGCUAACUUCGU